UGGCGAACGGGUGAGUAACACGUGGGCAACCUGCCCAAAAGAGGGGGAGUAACACUUGGAAACAGGUGCUAAUACCGCAUAACCAUAGUUACCGCAUGGUAACUAUGUAAAAGGUGGCUAUGCUACCGCUUUUGGAUGGGCCCGCGACGCAUUAGCUAGUUGGUGGGGUAAAGGCUUACCAAGGCAAUGAUGCGUAGCCGAACUGAGAGGUUGAUCGGCCACAUUGGGACUGAGACACGGCCCAAACUCCUACGGGAGGCAGCAG
rnacentral:rRNA from 1 species